GGCCCCGGCCCCAGCCCUUACAUGGACAAAUCUGCCUGCAGGGAAAGGCAGGAAUUUGGGCCCUUGACGUCAGCCGCGGGCAGAGCGCGGCAGCCCGGCAGAGCAGGAGGCAGCGGCCGCCGCUUUCGCUUUUAGUUUCGGGGCCGUCCCGCCGCGCUCCGGGCCGCCGGCCGCCCCUCCCUGCGCCCCAGCAGAGGGCUGGGAAAGAAACCCAAAGUCGUGAGUCUGGUGGAGCCCUGCGUGUUUCCAAACGCCCUGCUCUGAGUUCAUCCCMGCAGUGAGGCUGUGCAGCGUGAGAACUGAGUKCUUUGUAACUGGGUGUGUGCCUGAAUGCAUCAGCCUUUGGAGGUGAGCAUCCUCCCUUGAAACAGCCUCCUGAUACCCAAGUGCCUGCUCUCUCAAGCCGCAGAGGUCCCUUGGAAGAGCCUGUGUGUUCAUCUGACUGGGUGCCUGACAGGGCUGCCUUGC